rnacentral:misc_RNA from 1 species
GUUACUUGAAUGAACUAUCAAGCAUAUGUUAAAACUGCAUCAUCCCCUCAGGCUCUUAAACAGCAAAGUGAAACUCACAAUCUUUCAAUUUCACAAUUUUCAACUUCUAAGAUAGUUGUUGAUUUAAACAAUUUUUCAGUUCCAAAAUCAAAAGAAUCAUAUGUGACGCACAAUCUCCAUUACCAAGGUCGAAUCAAGAAUUGAUCGUGAUAAAAACAAACAAAUUGAACUGAAGACAUCUUGUGACAGAAUGCAAAAAUCCCAUACAUUUGGAAUCAAGUUCCCUGAGGUCGGCCAAACUAAUCCACAAAGUGUUAAACUGUCAAAGAAGAUAAUCUUAUUUUGCAAAAAAAUUACCCACUUUUAAUAAAAGCAGAGAUCCCCAGCAAUUUUUUCAAGGGUAAUUUUCCAUUUUUGUUUUCAUUUUUCCAAAAUUAAGUUUCCCCACUAUAGAGAGAGAGAGAGAAGAGAAAAAGAAAAUACCCCAUAAAGUAGAAGUGGAGAAUACUUUCCCCGUUUAGCUUUCCCAACUAUUUCCCUCUUUUUGCCCAAAUGAAAAAAUAAACAAGAACUUUGUCUUCUUUUAUCAGCCUGGUAGUGCGGGGGAAAAAAAACUGGUUCACAUCACACCAUUGGAGGACAUAGAAGAAAGCUAAAAGAACACGGAACCUAGACAGUACAAUCAUUUUCCUUUUACUCAUCAUUUUCUCUAUUCCAGAUCCAAUGAUGCAACAAGAACAUCUGUUAUUUCCAUUUUAGACCUAUUUGUUUACUUGAGAAAUGUUGAGAAAGAAGGAAAGAAAAAAGAGAACUAAGGUAAAUCUAAUCAACCAUAACAUCAAGCUUCCAAAUUUAGACUUCUCCACCAGUUUCUCAUCAGCCAAACCGAGGGAGCAAAGCAGGGCUAAAAAACAAAAUAAAAUCAAAGAGUCAAAUUUGAGUAAAUUAACAUCCCCAAGAUCAGAAAUUGGAAAUCCCAUAAAAAUUUUAAUUAAAGAAAGAAGAUAAAAGCAUUUUCAAUUAGAUUUUCGCUGGAAGGGACACAUAUUUCCUUUACCUAUACCUCAUUUUU